rnacentral:lncRNA from 1 species
CUUUUUUUCUCUUUUCUCUAGUUUUCUCUUUUUCCUUCUCUUAUCUUUUCCAUUUUCUUUUUUUCUUUCCUCUCAUUUUCUCAUUUUUUUCCUUUUUUCUAUUUUCAUCUUUCCCCCUCUUUCUCAUUUUUUCUUUUUCUCUCCUUUGUUUCCCUCCCUCUAUUUCCUUUCUUCUCCUUUAUCUUUGUCCUCUUUUCUCCUGCUUUUGCUAUCCUUUUCCCUCUUUUUUCUCUCCUUUUCCCUCUUUUUUCUCUCCUUUUCCCUCUUUUUUCUCUCCUUUUCCCUCUUUUGCUUUUUCCUCUUUUCUUCUGCUUUUGCUGUCCUUUGCCCUCUUUUUUCUCUCCUUUUUCCUCUCCCUAUUUUCCUCCCUCUGAUUCUCUUUUUCUCCUUUUUCUUUUUCCUCUUUUCCCUCUUUUUUCUCUCCUUUGCCCUCUUUUUUCUCUCUUUUCCACUUUUCUCCCCACACCUUUUUUCCUCAUUUCUCUUUUUCUUUCCUCUCCUUUUUAUGUCCCUUUUUCCUCUCUCUUUCUCUAUUUCUCUCCUUUUUCUCUCCCUUUUCCCUCUCUAUUGCUCUCUUUUUCUCUCCUUUUCAUUUUCUCUCUUUCCCCCUCCUUCUCUCUCUUUUUCUCUUAUUUUCCUCCAAUUCUUUUUCUCUUUCCUCUUUUCUUCUGCUUUUUCUCUCAUUUUCCAUCUUCUCUGCUUUUUCCUCUCCAUAUUUUCCUCCCUCUGAUUCUUUUUCUCCUUUUUCUUUUUCCUUUUUUGUCCUGCUUUUGCUCUCCUUUGCCCUUUUUUCUCUCAUUUUCCUCUUUUUUUUCUCCUUUGCCCUCCAUCUCUCUCUUUUCUCUCUCCUCUCAUUCUUUUCUUUUUCCUCUCUCUUUCUCCCUUUUCCCCUCUCUCUUUCUCCCUUUUCCCCUCCCUUUUCCCCUCUCUCUUUCUCCCUUUUCCCCUCCCUCUUUCUCCCUUUUCCCCUCUCUCUUUCUCCCUUUUUCUCUCCCUUUUCCCCUCUCUCUUUCUCCCUUUUUCUCUCCCUUUUCCCCUCUCUCUUUCUCCCUUUUUCUCUCCCUUUUCCCCUUUCUCUUUCUCCCUUUUUCUCUCCCUUUUCCCCUUUCUCUUUCUCCCUUUUUCUCUCCCUUUUCCCCUUUCUCUUUCUCUCUCCCUUUUCUCUCUCUAUUGCUCUCUUUUUCUCUCCUUUCCAUUUUCUCUCCUUUCCCCGCUUUUCCUCCUCUCUUUCUCCUCCCUUUCCCCGCUGUGUUCCCCCCAUGCCGGUAUCCCCCCUUUCCUCCCCCGGCUGCCCGCACCCUCGCUCCCCGGGCGGGGCCGGAGCCGGGGCCGGACCGGGCCGAGCCGGGGCUGCGCU